GAAUAAUCUCUGAUUCGGUUUUUGAUGCUACAAAGUUUUAUGUAGCAUCAUUUAGAGCGUUUUCUUUGUUAUACCUCAUUUGGAGAAUUUCAAUUGAAAUUAAUCUGGUGCUUUUGAAUCCUCUGUACGUUUCCUAUUUCCGUUGCCUGUGGAUUGGGAGGAAUGAGAAAAUAAUAAAGACCCGAAUCAACUCAAGCCAUAGAGUUACGGUUCCAUUCUAAUAGAAAUUUCUGACGCCGGCUAAUUGCAAAUUACAGUUCAAUUUAAUUUUAAUCGAAAAUAUUGGGGAUGCCCUUAGGGAACUAAGAUUAUGUAGAUAUGAUGAUACUGGCCUCCAUACACUACGUUGGCUGGCACUUAGUAAUAUCAUUUGCGUUUAAGUUUCUCAUUAGAUUUUAGCUCAGAUGGCCUCUCGAAAGAAAACCAGUGGCACCCAGUUCUACCGCAGGUUCUGUUUUGUUCUUGACGGGUCAAAUUGUAGCUUGCAUAUUGUAACCGGUGAGAUUGCAGGUUGCAGGAACUUGCUGUUGGAAUGCACCAAAUUUACAUAUUUGAGUAAAGACAAUAGUUGCCAUCAGAUGUAAUCGGGGUACAUUUGGGGUUGACUGGUAUGAGUCAAAGUGGAGGAAUUUAUGGAGGAUGAUGUAAUAUGGGGUUGACUGAUAGAGACGUCUGAAACCACCGAUGUUGUUCACUGGUGUGCAUAAAAGACACUAAAAAAAUUGCUAAGACACGAAUAUGAUGCAAACUUUCAACCAACACCAAAUUUCUGAAGAAAGAAAAGAUACUUAAUAGUGAAACACAGAGUUGAAAACAAGUUUUAAUUCAUUUGUGUUUCUUUGUUUAAACAGAGGUGGAAGCACAUUGAUGGUGGCGAGCAACUAACUCGCAAUAGGAAUUUUUUUUUUCUGUUGUUCCUGUAGCGUUUUAGAAAAACAAACUUUUGGACGAAAUUGGGGACCAAAAUGCCAUUUCUUUCUCUCUUUUUGAUUCCUGACCUAUGAUACGUGAUUGACACCAAGUAUGAGAGAUACUCUCAGAAAAAGGGUUGGAUAUUUGAGGUGGUGUAAGUCACAGAUUCAAAUAUGAAAGGAUUCAAGGUCAAUCUUCUUUUUCUUAUUAUUUUUAUUUUAUUUUUGCUAAUGGGAGGAUUUUAUUUGAUCAUUUAACAAAGAGUCAUGCGUGCCGAGUGUAUUUAAUUUGGCAGGAAGCGAGUGCUGCAAUAUCCGGGGCAGAUGUCUACGGAAAACUAAAAUUCGAGAGCGGAGUUCAUAGGGUGCAGCAAGUUUCCAUCACGGAGAAAUCAGGACGUGUUCAUACAAGUGUUGUGUAUGUUGCUAUCCUUCCCCAAGCAAAUGGGGUGAUUGGUGACUUCCUAAAAUAUUCUCAAGAAACAGUUCAAGAUCCAAGGUUGUUUCAGAAAGUUCAAGGGCCUUUAGAUGCUGACCUUGAUAAUUUUGUGGCCCCACUAAUCAGAUUCAGAUGAGUUUUGCAUCUAGAGAACCUUCACAAAGUGAAUCAUCUGCCACUGCACCUGUCAUAUCAAGUGGUUUUGAUGUAUGUGACGGCCCCACCAACUCAGGCCAAGCACCUACUAAAGGUACAGAUACAAAGGAACAAAUGCAUGAUAAUCUUCAACAGGACCGCAAGCAGGGGAAAAUUUAAUUUGGUUUGGAUCAGUAACAUCGGCCGCCUUAAGUGAAUAUGGAGUUUUUCUUUAAUUCUUUUGAACGGUUUAAUUUUGUCACCAAUGGGAUUUGAACUAUUACAUGUCAUAUUAGUUCUGUCACGUUUUAUGUAGUUUUAAUAAGAUGAGGGACUAUUCUGUAAUAAUUAGAUUGUUUAGGGAGUGGUUAGCAAGGUCUCUAACGAACUAUGAGUUAGUUGAUGUAACUUGGUAAUGAGAUUGAUUCCUAUUCUCUA